rnacentral:rRNA from 1 species
UACAGAGGUCCCAAGCGUUGUUCGGAUUCACUGGGCGUAAAGGGUGCGUAGGCGGUCGGGUAAGUCUGAUGUGAAAUCUCACAGCUUAACUGUGAAACUGCAUUGGAUACUAUCCGGCUCGAGGAAUGGAGGGGAGACUGGAAUACUUGGUGUAGCAGUGAAAUGCGUUGAUAUCAAGUGGAACACCAGUGGCGAAGGCGAGUCUCUGGACAUUUCCUGACGCUGAGGCACGAAAGCCAGGGGAGCAAACGGG